rnacentral:rRNA from 1 species
AUGUUGGCCUAUAGUGCUAUAUACUUUGGUUUUGCUUGCCAGUCUUUCUUACAUAUUUCUUAUGGAGACAGACACAGGAUUAUAGUAUCAAAUAGAUCAUUUUCUUCUUUAGGAAUUCUACCAAGGGCUAUAGUCAUAGUGAUCCUCCUAUUCAAUUACCUCAACCAUUUCCGAGCACCUCAUAUCACUUUCCAGGCAUAUGAUAGUUUUAUUAUCUGUGGACGAUUUCUUUCUCGUUCAAUGCCCUUUUUAGAUGGUCUCGAAGAGAGAAAUUUCCCAUUUUUAUCUAUGGAGUCACAACCAAGGUCGUGGUAA